rnacentral:rRNA from 1 species
CACGUAGGGCGCGAGCGUUGUCCGGAAUUAUUGGGCGUAAAGAGCUCGUAGGCGGUUUGUCACGUCGGCUGUGAAAACCCGAGGCUCAACCUCGGGCCUGCAGUCGAUACGGGCAGACUAGAGUGCUGUAGGGGAGACUGGAAUUCCUGGUGUAGCGGUGAAAUGCGCAGAUAUCAGGAGGAACACCGGUGGCGAAGGCGGGUCUCUGGGCAGUAACUGACGCUGAGGAGCGAAAGCGUGGGGAGCAAACAGG